rnacentral:rRNA from 1 species
AUGAGUGCAGCGGCGGAUGCGCAGUCUGGAACAAGCGGAGGCGGCGGGGAUGCCAUGAGAUCGGAGCUCGAUGAAUUCAUGGAGCAGCUGAAUCUGGAAGAUGAAGUCUUUGAUGAUCUGGUUAUCGAUGAGAAUGACCCGGUGAUCAAUGAAAGUGUUAGAUGGCUUGCGCUAGCUAGGGGUCAUAUGGAGAAAACAUUCAGCCAAGCAGGCUUUUACAAGGAUAUGCGCGCGGCAUGGAAUCCUGCACAGCAGGUGAGAUUUCGGCCGGCUGGCCCCAAUUUGUUGGUCGUACGAGCCUCAUGCCUCAGCGAUUAUGAACACAUGAUCGAUCAGGGGCCUUGGCUAUCCAGGAAUUUAGUCGUUUUGAUGUGCCCAUACGAUGGGUUUACUAAGGUAGAGCAGGUCCCAAUGGUAUUUAUUCCGAUCUGGCUACAAAUUCAUAAGCUCCCUAAAGGUUUUUGCAAGGCAAGCAUUGUGGAGCAUCUCCUUAGGAAUACCGGGAAGAUUUUGGAUAUGAGGCUGAACGGGAAUGUUUGAGCUGACUAUAUCAGAAUAAGGAUGCGUCAUGAUUUGCGCCUACCCCUAACCAAGUUUGUGAGUAUUGUAAGGGGCAGGGCAUGACAUGUCAUUCUGGUAAGGUAUGAGAAACUAGCUCGUUUUCGGAAUCAUUGGCCACGAGUACAAGGAGUGUGGGACAGGGAUCCAUGA